rnacentral:rRNA from 1 species
AGAUUAAGCCAUGCAUGUCUCAGUAUAAGCUUCUAUACGGCGAAACUGCGAAUGGCUCAUUAAAACAGUUAUAGUUUAUUUGGUGGUCAGCAAUUACAUGGAUAACCGUGGUAAUUCUAGAGCUAAUACAUGCGCCCAAACCCGACUUCGUGGAAGGGUUGUGUUUAUUAGAUACAGAACCAACCCAGGCUCCGCCUGGCCUUGAGGUGAUUCAUAAUAACCGAACGAAUCGCAUGGCUAUGCCGGCGAUAGACCAUUCAAGUUUCUGACCUAUCAGCUAUCGUCGGUAGGGUAUUGGCCUACCGUGGCAAUGACGGGUAACGGAGAAUUAGGGUUCGAUUCCGGAGAGGGAGCCUGAGAAACGGCUACCACAUCUAAGGAAGGCAGCAGGCGCGCAAAUUACCCAAUCCUGACGCAGGGAGGUAGUGACAAGAAAUAACAAUACAGGGCAUACAUGUCUUGUAAUUGGAAUGAGUAAACUUUAAAUCACUUUACGAGUAUCAAUUGGAGGGCAAGUCUGGU